GUGGGGAAUAUUGGACAAUGGGCGCAAGCCUGAUCCAGCAAUGCCGCGUGAGUGAUGAAGGCCUUAGGGUUGUAAAGCUCUUUCGGCGGGGACGAUGAUGACGGUACCCGCAGAAGAAGCCCCGGCUAACUUCGUGCCAGCAGCCGCGGUAAUACGAAGGGGGCAAGCGUUGUUCGGAAUUACUGGGCGUAAAGGGCGCGCAGGCGGCCUGACAAGUCAGAUGUGAAAGCCCCGGGCUCAACCUGGGAAUAGCAUUUGGGACUGUCGGGCUAGAGAUCGGGAGAGGAGAGUGGAAUUCCCAGUGUAGAGGUGAAAUUCGUAGAUAUUGGGAAGAACACCGGUGGCGAAGGCGGCUCUCUGGACCGAUACUGACGCUGAGGCGCGAAAGCGUGGGGAGCAAACAGGAUUAGAAACCCGUGUAGUCC
rnacentral:rRNA from 1 species